CCUCGUAUGCAUCGCCUGCCUGGCGCUGCCCAUCCCCAGCACACGGGCUGCCCUCGGCUGGGGGUCUGCGGGGCACCAGGCUGAGAGCCGAGGCCGGGCGGGGGGGGCCUGCUGGAGCCUACGUCAGCUCCCGCUUUCCUCUGUAAGUGUAACAAGUAUGUGCAGGAGCUGCCCCGCCCCGGGAGAGGCAGGAGGAGAACGCGAGGCUGACAGCACAGCACAGCACAGCACAGCCUCCACUCUGCGGGGAGAGGGCGGGCGGAUCAGCCAGUGGGUCCCGGCUCCCAGCACCAGAGCGGGUGGAUCAGCCAGCGGGUCCCGGCUCCCAGCACCAGAGCGGGUGGAUCAGCCAGUGGGUCCCAGCUCCCCAGUGCCAGGGCGACUCAGCCAGUGGGUCCCGGCUCCCAGCACCAGAGCGGGUGGAUCAGCCAGAGGGUCCCGGCUCCCAGCACCAGAGCGGGUGGAUCAGCCAGUGGGUCCCGGCAGCGCAGUGCCAGGGCAGGCAGAUCAGCCAGCGGGUCCCGGCAGCGCAGUGCCAGGGCGGGCAGAUCAGCCAGCGGGUCCCGGCAGCGCAGUGCCAGGGCGGGCAGAUCAGCCAGCGGGUCCCGGCUCCCAGCGCAGCGAGCAGAGGAAGGCUUGGGCCCCAGUAUGGAGAGGAGCUCGCGGCAGCGGCCGAAGAAGAAGCUGCAGCGCCGCGGGCUGGGCGGCUCAGCGGGGUCCCGGACGGGGGCAGAGGAGCAGGUGGUGAUGCUGUGCGAGGAGAUCGCUGACCUCGCUGCGCUGGAGACCCCCAACGUCAGCAGCUCGCUGUACUCCCUCCACUCCACCCUGCGCCUCCAGGAAGUGUAGGCACCGCGCCAGCCGGGGCAUCGCUGCUGUGAAGACGGGGUGCAGUGGGGGGUGCUAGGGGAGCCAGGUUGCACUGGCUGGGGGGCUGCAGCUGAUCUGGUGAGGGGACGGGCAAAGAUUGUUCUGCUUCAGCUCACCCCCCAGGGUGCAUAAUUCAGUUGAAGUCCCCGCGUUUACAGAACCUGGGUGGCCCCCAGGCCGUCUGGCGCAGAGGCGGUGAGGUGGGGGUAGUUGGAUCUGCAGAGCUGGAGCAGAUCUGCCGGCUUGGGGCAGCGUUCUGGCUCCCGCUCCCUGCCAGGCUGUGGCUCCUGAUGGGGCGUGGGGCUUGGCAGGCUGCCAUGCAUCCGAGCCAGGGGAGCUGCCCCAUUGCUGUGAGGGGCUCAGUGGGCACAGCUGUCGUACUGAGGUGUCCCCACCUGGGCCAGGCUUGCUUGGAGCUGGCAGGAGCCAGCCUGAUUGCCAGGUGGGGAGAGGGGCGAUGCACUCUGCCCUGGAGCAUCGGGACUGGGGGGAGCUGCUGUGCUGAGCCGCGGGGGCUGGUUGGAGCUCUCCCAGCCCCACAGCCGACACCUUGCGGGGCGGGGGGGGGGGGGGGAUCAGGGGCUGCCAGCCCAGCACGAGGUGUGAGUCAGUGUCUCGUGUUUCCCUCAGCAGUGCAAGAGUUAAGUGCCGCGGCUCGCCUGGCCGCGAGGGGUCCCGGUGCUGCGGCUCGCCUGCCCCUGCAGUGGAGGACGCUGGUGAUGUGCUCUCUGUGGGCACAGACCUGGCCCAGCCCGCAGUUCGCCUCACCAGACGGUGCCCCCAGGCGUCCCAGUUGCCGCAGUCCUGGCAUGGCAUAUGGGGGGAGGGGGUGGGGCCACGCUUCGUCAGUGGAGCCCUAGAGCAGGCUCCAAGCUGGGCGUGGUGGUUGCAACUCUGAGGAUGCCCAGCCCCUGACCCCUCACCCGCUCCG